rnacentral:rRNA from 1 species
UGGGGAAUAUUGCACAAUGGGCGGAAGCCUGAUGCAGCGACGCCGCGUGGGGGAUGAAGGCCUUCGGGUUGUAAACUCCUUUCGACAGGGACGAAGCUUUUGUGACGGUAUCUGUAUAAGAAGCACCGGCUAACUACGUGCCAGCAGCCGCGGUAAUACGUAGGGUGCGAGCGUUGUCCGGAAUUACUGGGCGUAAAGAGCUCGUAGGUGGUUUGUCGCGUCGUCUGUGAAAUUCCGGGGCUUAACUCCGGGCGUGCGGGCGAUACGGGCUGACUUGAGUGCUGUAGGGGAGACUGGAAUUCCUGGUGUAGCGGUGAAAUGCGCAGAUAUCAGGGGGAACACCGAUGGCGAAGGCAGGUCUCUGGGCAGUAACUGACGCUGAGGAGCGAAAGCAUGGGUAGCGAACAGG